GAUCAUGCCACUGCACUCCAGCCUAAACAACAGAGUGAGACUCUGUCUCAAAAAACGAAACAAAACAAAAAUCCCUCCAUAGUUCAUAUGGCAGGUGCAGCAUUGACCACAGUGCAGUCCAUUUGCCUUACAAUCUACUAGGAGAAAUAAUAGCACAACAAAUUAAUUCAGCAAGUAUUUGUUGAGUGCAUUUGUUCAAGGUAUGGAGAAACCAGGUGUAAAUGAGAGAUGAAGCCGCGUUCCUGGGAGUGACUAUGAGGUGAGCAUCACGUGUGUGGUGCCCAGCGCUGGAGGCCUUGCAGGGCCAAUCACGACCUCUCGGGAUGUCCAGAGAUGCUGCUACCACCCAAGCAGCCCCUCCCAGACUGGAGUGUCCAAAAACAAGUGAACAGCAGGCAGGCUGGCAUGGAAAUGGACAGAUGGGACUUGAAGGCAGGAACCUGGGUCCAGUCCUGGUCUCACCAUCACUAGGCCCACGACCUCUGUAAGACCCUCGCCUGCUCAGUCAGUUUCAUCGUUUGUAAAUAAGAAUACUGUUGAGCAGAGAGGUGCAGGUGAGAGAUUGUCCAAAAAUGCUUUGAAAAGGAUGCUAAGUAACAGUUAGCUUUUAUUAUCCCUAUGUUUCUGCUAAUCAAACCCAGGAUAGUUUUCUACAGCAAUCUGUGAGAGGCUCCAUUAUAUACUGUAUUUGAAUAUUCCAAACUACUCCUUUGCAGGAAGGAGUAAUUCUCUCACAUGCUCCUGCCUUGAGUGCUGAGUGGAGUUACAGAAGGUGAAGGGCCACAGAGGAGAAUGGCUGCCAGGCAUCUUUCCAUACCAGCUCCUUCUUUCCAUUCCUUCUUGGGCAUGGAUUUAUAUAGCACAUUAACAAAGAGCCAGGGAGGAAAGGAAGAAUUUCUAAACCCUUUGCUAGAAAUCCUCAAGUGUUUAGCUACACUGGAGCUACCCCAGGUGCUGCUACCCCAGGUCCUCUCUGUGACCCUGCCCCGUCUCUGCUGGCUGAACACCAUAUCUGAAUGACUGUGCCCUGACUACUGAGCUCCAAGGGUCUGGAAUGCCACUUCACAUCACAGGAUAACAAGGCAGCAGCUGUCCACCCCUCUGAGCACGCCUGGACAUCUGGCUGGUGUCUUUCCAAAGGUCUCCAUCCUGAGCAGUCCUCAAGCAAACACUCGAACCUCCUGUGGUGAACUCAGGCCAAGACUAUGUGCUUGACUGUCGGUGGCAGCUGCUGAGCUCCAGAUGACACGGGUCAUGAAGAGUUGGGCUUUUAUCUCAGUUCUUCAAACAACCAGAUCAGACGUAACAGACCAGCCUAGAGAUAGAGUGAGACUCCGUCUCAAAAAAAAAAAAAAAAAAAAAAAUUACAGGACCCAUCUCUUUGAGUAACUGUAUUAAAUGUGAAUGCAGCACCUAGCCACAUUACUAUGCACAUAGAAAGUAUUCAAUAAUGUUUACUGCUAUUAAUAUUAAUAUUUCCUUCAUAAAUUUAUUAAUAUUCAUUUUCUCCCAUCUUAACCCUUCUGGGCCCCUCAAUCCACUGGACCUGCCUUCAGCCUCCUGCCUCUUUACUGCCUUCAUUCGCACUUCUUUGAGUCAGGUUGGCAAACCCCUUCAUAAUCCGCCCAAUCUAGUUUUCCAGCCCCCAAUACUCUCCUGACCUAUAAAUUCGCUUUCUGCAUUGGCCACAAUGAACUCCUCCCAGGUGGCAGCUCUUUGGAUCUCUCUAUCCUUCCUUUCUUUGUGCUCUUUUCCUGGAAUGUCCUUCUCUUGUCAUCCUACCCAAGACAAUCAGUUUCUCCCUCUAUCGCUCCUUGAAUUCGCCUCUGAUAUUGCACUUGUGUCUGCAUAUUGACAGGUUUAUGGAAGACACUUCCUAGCCAUCUUGUGAGCUCCUUGAAGGAACUGUGUCUUUAUCUGUAUAGCCCCACCUAGCAGAUGCUCAAGGCAUGCUUGUGGAAUGAAUAAGGGAACAGAUCAUUUCUUCUGAGCUGUUUGCAGUCUGGCUAAGCCAAUUGAAAGAAUGCCUUCUCUUGCAAUCUACAAAUUGAAAAGCCUGUGAGACCCUCAGGACACUCAGGCAAGUUUUCCAGCAUAUGUGACAAUACCAAGCCUUAGUGCAUUUGCCUCUCACGUGGAGGAGUCUCUUCUAAAAAUGAAACAGAGAUGAAGGGUGAGACUCUUACAGUGGUUCAACUCCCCUAAGAUCCUCUUGUGAUUUAGAAGCAUCUUGGAAAGAAAUCCUUGACACUCGCCUCGCCCACCCUGAGCUAUAAGGUAAAGCUCUCGGUGGUAAACGUGGCUCCCUGGUAGGGAGACUUCUUUUAUCCUCAUUGUUUCUGGAGGGGGAAGUGUUAGCACAGAGACUCCCUGGGAAACCCGAGGAUGCCUCACCACCUCACCAUAACAGCAGGAAACCCAGAAAUGAUUCACAGCUGAAACCUCUGGCCCACAUCGACACAUCACAUCACAUGGUUGUUUCAACUGGAAACCAAACAGCCAUCUGGGCAUGAUUAUCUGUAUUUUUGUGAAGGUGUAAAUACACAUUCUGUCCUACUGGUGGCGGAGUGGGACUCCUUCAUGAUGUGGCACAGUUUCCUUGAGUUUUAGGAAGAAACGGCCCAUGUGGCAGAUUCAGAAACAAUGAAUCAGCACCUAAACAAACAGGAAGAUUUGGCACAAAAAAGUUUGCUUCGGGCAACCAUUGCCAGCUCUAUCCAGACCUCCAAGGAGUGAGUAUCUAUUCACUUGCCUCUGACACUGAGGAUUUCUAGAUGGAGAAGGCUGAGAAAUGCUACUCUGUUGAACAGAGCUACAAAGAACAAAUGUAAUUCCUUUCCCAUGGGGCUGCCCAUCAAGUUUUCCUAAGAUCUUACAGUUGGAAAGAGACUUAGAAGUUGUCUAAAUCGAUCUCCCUUCUGCAGCAAUCCUAACAGAUGGUCACCCAGCCUCCGCUGGAUCAGGCUCAGAGCGGAGAAGAGACCACAUGGUAAUCAUUGCCAUUGCAUCGCUGGCCAGCUCUGAUUGUUAGAAUGUUCUUUUCUUAAGCCUAGCGCCAUGCACAGGGGCCCUGGAAUGUGGCAGACCUGAGGUGGACUCUUGAACCAGCCGCUUCACCUCACCGGGGCUCAGUUUCCUGUAAUCCCAGCACUUUGGGAGGCCAAGGCAGGCGGAUCAUCUGAGGUCGGUAGUUCGAGACCAGCCUGGCCAACAUGGCGAAACGCCGUCUCUACUAAAAAUACAAAAAUUAACCGGGCUUGGAGGCAGGCACCUGUAAUCCCAGCUACUCGGGAGGCUGAGGCAGGAAAAUGCUGUAAAAUGGGGUGAAUGGUGUUAGCUAUAUCACGAGGAACAAAAAAUGGACAAAAAGCCCUUAGCAUUCUGCCUGGCAUGUUGAAGGAUUCAAUAAAUGUUCCCUAUCAUCACCAUUCCCUUCCACAGCUUCCAUAAGCUAAAAUUCUAGAGCCUGUUUGUAAUGCUUCUGCAACACCAUGCUUUACAUAUUUGAAAACAGUUAAUAUACUCUCCCCUGGCUGCACCUAAAAAGCUUUUGUUCCUAAGUUAAAUAUGCCCCCACCUUCCUUGAUAGAAUUAACCUCGAAACCUUUCAGUGUAUGUUUUUCAGAAAGCUGUUUGAAAGCAUGUUAAAAAUUCUUAGGAAUGAACUGGAGAAAUGUCAGAAGACAAAAAGUGCCACGGAGAAAACAAAGGGAGCAGAGGAAAGGGAUGGAAAAGGCUAGAAUGCAGGGGGCGGGUGCAGUUUAAAAUACAGGAGUCGAGUAGCUCACAUUCAAAGAACUGGGCUUUCUUAUGAAGUUUGAUUGGAGACCCUGGCCUGGACCAAAAUGGGGCACUCCACUCCUUCUCAGAGUUGCAGGCAGACAGAUCUGCCGUGCAGCACUGGCCACCCAGGCUGAAAAGCAGGAAGACCCGAGGAGGGGCUUGGCGAGGGCAGCCCAAGUCUGCUCACUGGGUGGCCAGAAGCACAGCAUCAUCCUGUGGCCUCCACAGAGAGGGCCAGGAAGCAGGAGGUGGGGCACCAGGAGACCCUGUCUUUACAUCAUGCUCCAACCCCUAAAAAUAUGGCCCAAUGCAUGUAUCAAGCUCUCAUCCAUCCAAUUAAUUCCUCCUUCUCUUAUAGAGAAGAGCAACCAAGGCCCGGCAUGAUGGCUCAUGCCUGUAAUCCCAGCAUUUUGGGAGGCUAAGGCAGGAAGAUCACUUGAGCCCAGGAGUUUGAGAUCAGCCUGACCUACAUAGCGAAACCCUGUCUCUACUAAAAAUACAAAAAUUAGCCAGGCGUGGUGACACAUAUCUGUAACCCCAGGUACUUGGGAGGCUGAGGCAGGAGAAUCACUUGAACCCAGGAGGCGGAGGUUGCAGUGAGCCAAGAUCAUGCCACUGCACUCCAGCCUGGGCGACAGAGGGAGACCUUGUCUCAAAAAAAAAAAAAAAAAAAAAAAGCAGCAACCAAGUGUUAGGAACUGAACUGUGUCCCUCAGAAGUUCAUAUGUUGGGCCAGGCACUGUGGCUCAUGCCUGUAAUCCCAGCACUUUGGGAGGCCAAGGUGGGUGGAUCACCUGAGGUCGGGAGUUCGAGACCAUCCUGACCAACAUGGAGAAACCCCAUCUCUACCAAAAAUACAAAAUUAGCUGGUCGUGGUGGCGCAUGUCUGUAAUCCCAGCUACUCGGGAGGCUGAGGUAGGAGAAUCGCUUGAACCCAGGACGCAGAGGUUGCAGUGAGCCGAGAUCACGCCAUUGACUCCAGCCUGGGCAACAGGAGCCAAACUCCAUCUCAAAAAAAAAAAGUUAGUAUGUUGAAGUCCUAAAUUCCAGUGUGACUGUGUUCGAAGAUAGGGACUUUAUGGAGGGACUUAAGGUUAAAUGAAGCCAUGAUGAUGGGACCCUAAUGUGAUAGAACCAGGGCAGAUCACUUGAGCCCUUGUAAGAAGAGGAAAAGACACCAGAGCUCGCUUCCCACCUGCCGCAGAAGAAAGGACCAAGCGAGGAAACCGUCAGAAGGUGAUCAUCUGCAAGCCACAGGAGAAACCAGCCCUGCCCACACCGUGACCCUGGACUUCCAGCCUCCAGAACUGUGAGAAAAUGCAUUUCUGUUGUUUAAGCCACCCAGUGUGCUAUUUUGUUACAACAGCCCAAACCAACUCAAACACAUAGCAUAGCAGUUCCUCAAAAAAGUGGCAAUGUUAGUGGAAGUUUCUUCCUUUAUGGGUUGAAGCAGAACAUGGGGAGAGAAGAGUUCCCCAUUGUAGGUAGAUUCUUAAAAUAAUUCAAUGCUGUAAUUAUAACAGAUAAGAAUGUAGGCUAAAACUAAAUUUAAACAGGAAGUUACUUAUUUACCUCUAGCUAUGAGUUCAAUAUAUUAUCUUAUUCUUGGAAAAGAAAGAAAUGAAAUAAAGCCUUGAACAGAGGAAACAGUAAAGAAAUAAAUCUGCAUGGAAGAAAAUGGAAAAAGUAAAUGAAGUUGGAAGUUGUUAAGUACCAGUAUUCUUUAAAUUAUUUACAUGAAUUCAGAUGUGUAAAUCCUCAUUGAAGGCAGGAACAUUUGUAAAGUAUUUACUGGACGCCAUUUGUAAAGUCCUUUACUGGACGUAUUCAGGGGGCUGAACUAAGUGUGGAAGCUAUUAAUAAAAUAAAAGGUAAUAUUGAUCGUGCCUUUAGAAACUUCUAUUUUAGAAUGCAAAUACUAAUAAUACCCGCUGAGAAUUUAGAGACUAUCCCUUAUCUCCAGAGGCACUAGCCGCCCUGCAAAGGUUAGGGAGCUCAACAGAAGACCAAAGGGGCUAACAGCAAGAUGGAGCAGGAGAGAACCCAUUUACCUGGCAGGUGUGAGAAGAGUCAAGGUGUUUCUAAGCACACAGCUGAAAAUGGAAAACAG
rnacentral:lncRNA from 10 species